ACCAACCCACAGAUCGCAAAUCCAGACCGCCUACUCUUCCGUGAUCCAACAGCAAGCAGUCAACUCCUAUGUAGAUCUCCGUCAGCUUCUUCCUUCCCCUUUGUCCGCCCCGACUCCCCUGAUCUCGCCGUCCUCCUCUUUCAGAUCCUCCCCUCCCCAUCCACGGUCGCCGCCACCUCCCCGUCCAUGGCCAUCUGCCCCUAUGCGUCCCGCAACCGCCGCGAUGACAACCUCGUCCCCAGAGGCGGGGACUUCCCUUAAGGCGAACCUUGUGCACGCGGCGCCGGUACCGUUGAUGCCGGUCGGGCAGCGGUCAGAUCUGCCACGGCCAAAACUGGCGUCCUCUUCCUCCCUAUCCAGCUUCCUCCCAUGGAUGAGGAGAGGGCUUCGUCAAGGAUCCCAUGAUGGAGGUCAACAUGGGAGGCUGCUUCCUCUGAUCCCAGAUCGACCAUCCGGCGAUGGAGGCCAUGAGAGCCACUUGGGCACAAACAUGGCUGCGCUUCAAGUUGCAGCUUGAUAGAUGCAGGGACGCCGCCAUGGAACAGUCAGGGCCUCCCUUCUCCUCCUGCUUCGUUCGAUCUGCCACUGCCAGCCAUUUCCGGCGCCCCUGCACCACGGCGGUGAAGGACACAAUGAUGAAUUGAACGCAAGAUCCUGCUGGUGAUCCAACAGACGCAAACGCAUCAGAUGCCUAAUAAAGGACUGGCAAAUAAAAUAGGAAUCCAAACUUGCAAAAUUCUCUUUUACAAACCGCUAGUACUACUGGGACUCUAGGUACAACGCAUAAUGUAAUUGCUCCAAAUACGCUCAUACAAGUUGCAACAAUGAAUUCUCGAAUGUUUCGAGUAAUGCAGGAUCCAAAGAUUUAGCUGGAAUGGACUCUAGACAACGGACAAUUUAUAUCUUCGCUCUUAAUUAGGAUGGCACAUUGUAUUUUGAUGGAUAUUGGCUAUGAAAACUUUGAUGUUUGAUGAAUCUAUGUCAUAUAUGCAUUAUUUGAAUCAUGUAAUUGAAUGCAUGUAUAUUUUUUUUCUGGUUACAGUAGGCUAUUACCACAAGCUACGUUUGGUUGCAACAUGUUGGCACCACGAAAAUUAGGGUUGUAUCAAA